UUGGUGCCGAGGACUCACACGUAAAAGGAGCUCAUUCGGAGGCAGGGGCACGCGCUUGUCCCCAGAACUCAAACCCCAGAGUCCCUCCGGCAGAUGAGAGUGGAGUCUGUAAAUCACCCUCCAUGCAAUGGUUCAUCAUAAAGGAUAUGGAGCAAAAUUAGAGGAGGCACGAGAAGGAAAGCCGGUGAUGAACAAGGAAAGUGCCUGGUUGAAGCUAGCUUGCAAUCCCCAAAGUCAGAAGGUUGCCUGGGAAGCCAUGAAACAAAGCCAAAUCAAGGCAAAGCAGACACAUGGAGAUUUUGAGACUGAGAAGAGGAAAACUGAGGACAUUCAUGUGAGAUGGUUUCAAGUUUCCCUUAGAAGGAGAAGUUAUCUUCAGAAGGUCAGGUUGGUGAGGUGGGAGUUCAAAAACAACAAAGUAUGUAGCUACCAUUGUGAGGAAGACCAUGGAAAAUGGAUGAAUCAGAAUGAAAGGCUUUCUGAA
rnacentral:lncRNA from 1 species